rnacentral:rRNA from 1 species
GCUGGCGGCAGGCCUAACACAUGCAAGUCGAGCGGUAACAUUUCUAGCUUGCUAGAAGAUGACGAGCGGCGGACGGGUGAGUAACGCGUAGAAAUCUACCUAGUAGUGGGGGAUAGCCCAGAGAAAUUUGGAUUAAUACCGCAUACGCCCUACGGGGGAAAGCGGGGGAUCUUCGGACCUCGUGCUAUUAGAUGAGUCUGCGUCGGAUUAGCUUGUUGGUGAGGUAAUGGCUCACCAAGGCGACGAUCCGUAGCUGGUCUGAGGGGAUGACCAGCCACACUGGAACUGAGACACGGUCCAGACUCCUACGGGAGGCAGCAGUGGGGAAUAUUGCACAAUGGGCGCAAGCCUGAUGCAGCCAUGCCGCGUGUGUGAAGAAGGCCUUAGGGUUGUAAAGCACUUUCAGCAGUGAGGAAAGGGGUGUCGUUAAUAGCGCCAUCCUGUGACGUUAACUGCAGAAGAAGGACCGGCUAACUCCGUG